rnacentral:misc_RNA from 1 species
UUCAAAUUAGCUAUAGAGAGCCUGUUACAUAUGUCACUAUAUCUAUUCAUCAUUCUUCUUGGUGUGGCAUUUCUGAGUGGUUAUGGUUUUACAUUUCAGUGUUAAUUACAAACCCAACUCUUUCUGGAAUUUUCUCUAGUGAUACACUUCGGUCCUCUGUUUCAAAAUUAGCAAUUGUAGUCCCUUAAGGUUCAUUAAUAAUUCAAAACUUUACUCCUUGGUUAUAAAUCCUUGGUUAUAAAAUUAUGAAAUUUUCAUUACACUUUAGUUCCUACACAUUUUACAAUAAAUUACACUUUGGUUCCUCUGAACGUAUGCUUUUAGUCCCUGAAUUACACUAAAACACUCUAGUCUGUAUACACUGGUGGUAGUAUAGGGACUGAAAUUGCUAGUUUUGGAACAAAAGAGACCACUGUAUUUGAGGUAAACAUCAAAGGGUUUUUGUUAUUCAAACCAAUGUUUUAAAAUGAAACAUGAUUCGGUAAUGUUAAAUCUUGGUAUGAUCUGCUUCUAGGCUAUCUGAUAUAUUUAUGUUCAUUUCUUGCUUUUAUUCAUAUAUUUGUAUAUAGAAAUUUUAUUUACUUUUUUGGUUGAAAUUCCU